GAUGAACGCUGGCGGCGUGCCUAAUACAUGCAAGUCGAGCGAAUGGAUUAAGAGCUUGCUCUUAUGAAGUUGGCGGCGGACGGGUGAGUAACACGUGGGUAACCUGCCCAUAAGACUGGGAUAACUCCGGGAAACCGGGGCUAAUACCGGAUAACAUUUUGAACCGCAUGGUUCGAAAUUGAAAGGCGGCUUCGGCUGUCACUUAUGGAUGGACCCGCGUCGCAUUAGCUAGUUGGUGAGGUAGCGGCUCACCAAGGCAACGAUGCGUAGCCGACCUGAGAGGGUGAUCGGCCACACUGGGACUGAGACACGGCCCGGACUCCUACGGGAGGCAGCAGUAGGGAAUCUUCCGCAAUGGACGAAAGUCGGACGGAGCAACGCCGCGUGAGUGAUGAAGGCUUUCGGGUCGUAAAACUCUGUUGUUAGGGAAGAACAAGUGCUAGUUGAAUAAGCUGGCACCUUGACGGUACCUAACCAGAAAGCCACGGCUAACUACGUGCCAGCCGCCGCGGUAA
rnacentral:rRNA from 1 species